GACGAACGCUGGCGGCGUGCUUAACACAUGCAAGUCGAACGGAAAGGCCCUGCUUUUGUGGGGUGCUCGAGUGGCGAACGGGUGAGUAACACGUGAGUAACCUGCCCUUGACUUUGGGAUAACUUCAGGAAACUGGGGCUAAUACCGGAUAGGAGCUCCUGCUGCAUGGUGGGGGUUGGAAAGUUUCGGCGGUUGGGGAUGGACUCGCGGCUUAUCAGCUUGUUGGUGGGGUAGUGGCUUACCAAGGCUUUGACGGGUAGCCGGCCUGAGAGGGUGACCGGCCACAUUGGGACGGAGAUACGGCCCAGACUGCUACGGGAGGCAGCAGUGGGGAAUAUUGCACAAUGGGCGGAAGCCUGAUGCAGAAACGCCGCGUGCGGGAUGACGGCCUUCGGGUUGUAAACCGCUUUCGCCUGUGACGAAGCGUGCGUGACGGUAAUGGGUAAAGAAGCACCGGCUAACUACGUG
rnacentral:rRNA from 1 species